GAUGAACGCUAGCGGCAGGCCUAAUACAUGCAAGUCGGACGGGAUUCAGGAGCUUGCUUCUGAUGAGAGUGGCGCACGGGUGCGUAACACGUAUGUAACCUACCUUUAUCAGGGGGAUAGCCUCUCGAAAGAGAGAUUAAGCCCGCAUAAAAUCACAGCACAGCAUUGUGUAAUGAUCAAAUAUUUAUAGGAUAAAGAUGGGCAUGCGGAACAUUAGCUAGAUGGCGGGGUAACGGCCCACCAUGGCGACGAUGUUUAGGGGAUCUGAGAGGAUGGCCCCCCACACUGGUACUGAGACACGGACCAGACUCCUACGGGAGGCAGCAGUAAGGAAUAUUGGUCAAUGGACGGAAGCCUGAACCAGCCAUGCCGCGUGCAGGAAGACGGCCCUACGGGUUGUAAACUGCUUUUAUACGGGAAUAAACCCAGAUACGUGUAUCUGGCUGAAUGUACUGCAAGAAUAAGGAUCGGCUAACUCCGUG
rnacentral:rRNA from 1 species